UGCCGCCAUGUAAACGUUUUUUGCUCCUGCUUCGUCUUCUGCUGUGAUUGUGAGGCCUCCCCAGCCACGUGGAACUCCUCAUCACUCAAUGCAGAUGUUACUUUAAGACAUUCUGGAGCAGCGUCAUGUGCAGGAACAAUAAGGAAGUUAGUGCUUUUGUAAUUCCUGAACAACUGUGUCUUACACUUACUAAGGGAUUCAUGGGCAAUAUGACUGAAUAGGAACAGCUCCAGUCUGAAGCUCCCAGUGAGACCAACAUAGAAG
rnacentral:lncRNA from 1 species